ACACGCGUACAACAUAGUGGUAAUGCACAUAAUCCCAUUAGAACUUUAAAGUUAAGCGCACUCAGGCUAGAGUAGUAUUGGGAUGGGUGACCACCCGGGAAGUCCUAGUAUUUUACAUGCC
rfam:Picea glauca, whole genome shotgun sequence.